GACGAACGCUGGCGGCGUGCUUAACACAUGCAAGUCGAGCGGAAAGGCCCUUCGGGUACUCGAGCGGCGAACGGGUGAGUAACACGUGGGUAACCUGCCCUUCACUCUGGGAUAACUCCGGGAAACCGGGGCUAAUACCGGAUACGACCACUUUAGGCAUCUUCGGUGGUGGAAAGUUUUUCGGUUGGAGGAUGGACCCGCGGCCUAUCAGCUUGUUGGUGGGGUAAGUGGCCUACCAAGGCAGUGACGGGUAGCCGGCCUGAGAGGGCGACCGGCCACACUGGGACUGAGACACGGCCCAGACUCCUACGGGAGGCAGCAGUGGGGAA
rnacentral:rRNA from 1 species